rnacentral:rRNA from 1 species
UACGUAGGGUGCGAGCGUUAAUCGGAAUUACUGGGCGUAAAGCGUGCGCAGGCGGCUUUGCAAGACAGAUGUGAAAUCCCCGGGCUCAACCUGGGAACUGCAUUUGUGACUGCAAGGCUAGAGUACGGCAGAGGGGGAUGGAAUUCCGCGUGUAGCAGUGAAAUGCGUAGAUAUGCGGAGGAACACCGAUGGCGAAGGCAAUCCCCUGGGCCUGUACUGACGCUCAUGCACGAAAGCGUGGGGAGCAAACAGGAUUAGAUACCCUGGUAGUCCACGCCCUAAACGAUGUCAACUGGUUGUUGGGAGGGUUUCUUCUCAGUAACGAAGCUAACGCGUGAAGUUGACCGCCUGGGGAGUACGGCCGCAAGGUUG